UACGGGGGGAGCAAGCGUUGUCCGGAUUUAUUGGGCGUAAAGAGCUCGUAGGCGGUUCGGCAAGUCGGGUGUGAAAUUUCGAGGCUCAACCUCGAAACGCCACUCGAUACUGCUGUGACUGGAGUCCGGUAGAGGAGUGCGGAAUUCCUGGUGUAGUGGUGAAAUGCGCAGAUAUCAGGAGGAACACCAACGGCGAAGGCAGCACUCUGGGCCGGUACUGACGCUGAGGAGCGAAAGCGUGGGGAGCAAACAGG
rnacentral:rRNA from 1 species